UUUAAAGCAACACUUUUCAUUUAAGCGGCAUCUCUAUUUCAAUCAACGCUAUGCCCCAAAGUCCUUUAUCUUUCCAAACUACACCUUCAUUCCAAACUUCAAUCUAAACAACACUGAUGUGUUUAGAAUUAUACACAUUUUUACGAAUUGGUGAAAAACCGGUUAAUUCUGCGGUGAAAACAGAGGAAAACGGACGAAGUAGAGAGCACGGAAAAGCGUGUCGGAAAGUGAUGUUCAAGUAAUGAAAUCUGCUGGUCAGGAAGGCUUACGGACCGUAAGCAAUAUACCCAUACGGUCCAUAAGUAGUGGAGAUUAAAAUUUUUAUUGAAGCCUUACGGACAGUAAGCCUUCGGGCCAUACGGUCCGCAAGAGGGACACGGAACAUGAUUUUGGUUAGCCUUACGGACCGUAAGCCGUAGGGCCAUAUGGUCCGUAUCCAUAUCGGUUUUGCGAAAAAAAUAGCUUUUAAAACCUUACGACCUUAGGGUUUGCAUAUCUCGCAUACCAGACGGCAAAGGGCAAGUUGAGGAUGAUCUUGGAGCAUCUUGAAGCUGAUCAAAGGUCUUGGAAGCAUUUGGUUCGUGUUUGGAGCGUAUUGGGUUCGUUAAACAUUAGUUCUUCGUAUUUAAUUUGGUUUGAACCAUGAUUUCUAUUGUUUUCAGACUUGAUUUAGUUGUGUUCUUGAAUAUUAUGAGUAGCUAAACUUCUAAACUACUUAGGUUGAGAUGAA